AGGCUGUCGCUGACCUUCAAGGUUGUGCACGCCCGAGCACUCUCUCACAUCCUUCUCACCCCUUUGUGCAUCACCGCGUGGGCCCCUCUUUGCGGAGAAGGCCUGCGUUUUCACAUAAAACUUGAUACAGUGUAGAAUGUCUUUUUGCGGUCACACGCAAUCAAUACAACUUUCAACAACGGAUCUCUUGGCUCUCGCAUCGAUGAAGAACGCAGCGAAAUGCGAUACGUAAUGUGAAUUGCAGAAUUCAGUGAAUCAUCGAAUCUUUGAACGCACCUUGCGCCCCUUGGCAUUCCGAGGGGCACACCCGUUUGAGUGUCGUGAAAUUCUCAAAACCUUUUCUUUGAGAAAAGGAUUUUGGACUUGGAGGUUUUUAUGCUUGCUUUCGUGUCUCGAAAGUGAGCUCCUCUUAAAUGAAUUAGUGGGGUCUGCUUUGCUGGUCCUUGACGUGAUAAGAUGUUUUGACGUUUUGGACUUGGCACUGUCUCUUGGAUGCCUGCUUCUAACUGUCCAUCUCAUGGACAAUGAUGGUGCUCUGGUCUUUUCC
rnacentral:rRNA from 1 species